GGAGAGAGAGACUGAGGGGAGGAGAGAGAGAGGGGAGGGGGGCAGGGGGGAAAGUGGUCCGGGGGACCACUUUUUAGUCCAUUUAGUCCAUUUUAGCUACCCAAGUGACUAAAUGAUUAGAGGGGGGCUAAAGUUUAGCCCACAAGAUUUAGCUAGGGUGUUUGGGAAGCUUGGGGGCUAAAAUGAACUAAAGUGGGGGUGCUAAAGUUUAGC
rnacentral:lncRNA from 1 species